rnacentral:rRNA from 1 species
UACGAAGGGGGCUAGCGUUGUUCGGAAUUACUGGGCGUAAAGCGCGUGUAGGCGGGUCUUUAAGUUAGGGGUGAAAUGCCAAGGCUCAACCUUGGAACUGCCUUUGAUACUGGAGAUCUUGAGUCCGGGAGAGGUGAGUGGAAUUGCGAGUGUAGAGGUGAAAUUCGUAGAUAUUCGCAAGAACACCAGUGGCGAAGGCGGCUCACUGGCCCGGAACUGACGCUGAGACGCGAAAGCGUGGGGAGCAAACAGG